GACCUAACAAAAGCCGAACAUGCCGGAAAUCCACAAUGCUCCUUUUGUUUGCGUGUACAGGAAGCCAUGUGCAGCACUUCAGAAAUGAAUAGAAAGUUUCAUUCAUACUUUGCCCCCCUGUGCUGCUCGACCACGUGAGUUGCCUGGGAUCGGAAAUGGGAAGCAGGAGAGAGGGGGGAUAGAAAGCAAGAGGAAAUUACAGGAGAGCUCUUUUGUGAGUCGAAAGAAAAUACGAGGCUGAACGAAAAUGUCAACACUGAGGACGACAACAAUUAGUCAGCAGGAUGACGUCACGGCCGGGGAACGUACUGUUCUGUCCAGCGGCAGCCACAAAACCCUCACCGAUGGUGAAGAUCUGCCGACCUGGGGCUACGUCAGAACAUAAAAGCGCAUCAUAGAUCCUUAUGUGUGAUGCAGAGGAAGCAGGAGGAUCUGAGACAGCAGUACGAAGAUGACCCGGACCCUAACCCCAACCCAAACCCUAACCCUAACCCUAAUCCGAAGAUGAGGGAUUUGCAUUGAAGUGUACAGGACGGCCAUCUACGUUGAAAAGCGAAGCAAAGGGGCUCCCUUCUGCGUCGGAUGUGUACGCCAUCCGAGGCAACGUCGAUAUGUGACGAUGUGGGGUGAGACUGUGUGGAGAGGAUCUAUCUAAUCUCCUUGAAGUUUAGAAGGAGCGGAAGAUCUUGACUAGCCUGAUAUAGAGUUCUGACCUCAACCCUAUUAAACACCUCUGGGAUGAAUUAGAAACUGUCUUCAUGCCCCUUACUGGCUUUACUACCAACCCUGUAUCUUGAAUUAGCAUACAUUUCAACAAGCACACUCCAACAUCUAGUAGACCAUCUUCCCAGAAGAGUGGAGGUUGUUUUAACAAAUGGAGACUAAAGCUAAAGUGUGAAAA